rnacentral:rRNA from 1 species
AAACGAUGCCGAUGUCGUGGUGCCGAAUAAUGGCGACGCGAAAGAGAAAUCGAGUAGGGCCCUGGGGAGAGUACACGCGCAAGCGAGAAAUUUAAAGGAAAUUGACGGAAGAACACCACAAGGAGUGGAGUGUGCGGCUUAAUUUGACUCAACGCGGGACAACUUACCGGGCCCGACGACCGUAAGAGUGUGACACACGAUAGGUCGAAGAGUGGUGCAUGGCCGUUAACGACGAGUGGAGUGAUCUUUGGGUUAAGUCCGUAAAUUAGUGAGACCUCAGCCGUAAGGGACAGGUGCGCAAAGCACAGGAAGGAUGGGUCAAGGACAGGUCAGUGAUGCCCUUAGAUGGUCCGGGCUGCACGCGCACUACAGUGGUCGCCGAAAUUACCUGAUAAUUAUAAAGGCGAUCGAGAGGGAAUGAGCUUUGUAAGAGGCUCAGGAACGAGGAAUUGCUAGUAAUCGCGGACCCAUUAAGACGCGAUGAAUACGUCCCUGUUCUUUGUACACACCGCCCGUCGUUAUCGAAGAUGAAGAUAGGCGCGAACGAUCUACCAGAAAGUGAGCGCAGGUUUUUAGAUCUGAUACAAGUCGUAACAAGGUAGCUGUAGGAGAACCUGUAGCUGG